rnacentral:rRNA from 1 species
UAAUACAGAGGGUGCAAGCGUUGUUCGGAAUUAUUGGGCGUAAAGCGCGUGUAGGCGGCUUAGCAAGUCGGGCGUGAAAGCCCUCGGCUCAACCGAGGAAGUGCACCCGAAACUGCUGAGCUUGAGUGCCGGAGACGGAUGGCGGAAUACCCCAAGUAGAGGUGAAAUUCGUAGAUAUGGGGUGGAACACCGGUGGCGAAGGCGGCCAUCUGGACGGUAACUGACGCUGAGACGCGAAAGCGUGGGUAGCAAACAGGAUUAGAUACCCUGGUAGUCCACGCCGUAAACGAUGAGAACUAGAUGUCGCGGGUGUUGACCCCUGCGGUGUCGCAGCUAACGCAUUAAGUUCUCCGCCUGGGAAGUACGGUCGCAAGAUU